rnacentral:rRNA from 1 species
AGUCGAACGGAUCCUUCGGGAUUAGUGGCAGACGGGUGAGUAACGCGUGGGAAGCUACCUUGUGGUAGGGGACAACAGUUGGAAACGACUGCUAAUACCCUAUGAGCCCUAUGGGGGAAAGAUUUAUCGCCAUGAGAUGUGCCCGCGUUAGAUUAGCUAGUUGGUAAGGUAAUGGCUUACCAAGGCGACGAUCUAUAGCUGGUCUGAGAGGAUGAUCAGCCACACUGGGACUGAGACACGGCCCAGACUCCUACGGGAGGCAGCAGUGGGGAAUAUUGGACAAUGGGGGCAACCCUGAUCCAGCCAUGCCGCGUGUGUGAUGACGGCCUUAGGGUUGUAAAGCACUUUCAGCAGUGAAGAUAAUGACAUUAACUGCAGAAGAAGCCCCGGCUAACUUCGUGCCAGCAGCCGCGGUAAUACGAAGGGGGCUAGCGUUGUUCGGAAUCACUGGGCGUAAAGAGUACGUAGGCGGACUGAUAAGUUAGGGGUGAAAUCCCAAGGCUCAACCUUGGAACUGCCUUUGAUACUGUCAGUCUUGAGAUCGAGAGAGGUGAGUGGAACUCCGAGUGUAGAGGUGAAAUUCGUAGAUAUUCGGAAGAACACCAGUGGCGAAGGCGGCUCACUGGCUCGAUACUGACGCUGA